AGUGAACGCUGGCGGUAGGCCUAACACAUGCAAGUCGAACGGCAGCACAGUAAGAGCUUGCUCUUACGGGUGGCGAGUGGCGGACGGGUGAGGAAUACAUCGGAAUCUACUUUUUCGUGGGGGAUAACGUAGGGAAACUUACGCUAAUACCGCAUACGACCUACGGGUGAAAGCAGGGGAUCUUCGGACCUUGCGCGAUUGAAUGAGCCGAUGUCGGAUUAGCUAGUUGGCGGGGUAAAGGCCCACCAAGGCGACGAUCCGUAGCUGGUCUGAGAGGAUGAUCAGCCACACUGGAACUGAGCCACGGUCCAGACUCCUACGGGAGGCAGCAGUGGGGAAUAUUGGACAAUGGGCGCAAGCCUGAUCCAGCCCUACCGCGUGGGUGAAGAAGGCCUUCGGGUUGUAAAGCCCUUUUGUUGGGAAAGAAAAGCAGCAGGUUAAUACCCCGCUGUUCUGACGGUACCCAAAGAAUAAGCACCGGCUAACUUCGUG
rnacentral:rRNA from 1 species